ACGGAGGUAGCUAGCGUUGUUCGGAAUUACUGGGCGUAAAGCGCAGGUAGGCGGCUUUGUAAGUCAGAUGUUAAAGCCUGGGGCUCAACCCCAGAACUGCCUGUGAGACUGUAUCGCUUGAAUCCAGGAGAGGUGAGCGGAAUUCCGAGUGUAGAGGUGAAAUGCGUAGAUAUUAGGAAGAACACCAGUGGCGAAGGCGGCUUACUGGGCUGGAAUUGACGCUGAGGUGCGAAAGCGUGGGGAUCAAACAG
rnacentral:rRNA from 1 species